rnacentral:lncRNA from 1 species
GGCGAUCUGCUGAGGAUAAAUUGCAAGCAUCCGACAAUUAUCUACAGGGACUAGCUGGGGAUACAUUGGUAUACAACCAAUGAUCCGGGGAACAAAUCACUAGCAAACGGUGAAAGGAUCCACUGGGGAUAAAAUUGCUAGCAUACGGCAAUUAUCCACAAAAGACUUGCUAGGGAUAUAAGUGCUGAUCUGAGCAACUUAUCCAAGCAAAAGGAAAAUCAACAUCAAAGACUAGAU